UACGUAGGGUGCGAGCGUUAAUCGGAAUUACUGGGCGUAAAGCGCGCGCAGGCGGUUUUGUAAGUCUGAGGUGAAAUCCCCGGGCUUAACCUGGGAAUUGCGUUGGAGACUGCAAGGCUGGAGUGUGGCAGAGGGGGGUAGAAUUCCACGUGUAGCAGUGAAAUGCGUAGAGAUGUGGAGGAACACCGAUGGCGAAGGCAGCCCCCUGGGUCAAGACUGACGCUCAUGCACGAAAGCGUGGGGAGCAAACAGG
rnacentral:rRNA from 1 species